AUGAAACAAUCAAACCUACAAGCCAAUCUCAGCAAGAACAUAGUCAAACCCACAAGCUGCGAACAAUCAAAGAUUUGGGCUAAGAAAGGAAUGCCGCGAAUGAAAUAUGAUUUAGGGUUAAUGAUCUUCAACGAUUCAUCUUUGGAGCUUCAACGAUUUCGAAAUUUAGGGUUGAUGAUUCUCAAUCGUUGA